UACGUAGGGGGCAAGCGUUAUCCGGAUUUACUGGGUGUAAAGGGGGCGCAGACGGCGAUGCAAGCCAGGAGUGAAAGCCCGGGGCCCAAUCCCGGGACUGCUCUUGGAACUGCGUGGCUGGAGUGCAGGAGGGGCAGGCGGAAUUCCUGGUGUAGCGGUGAAAUGCGUAGAUAUCAGGAGGAACACCGGUGGCGAAGGCGGCCUGCUGGACUGCAACUGACGUUGAGGCCCGAAAGCGUGGGGAGCAAACAGG
rnacentral:rRNA from 1 species